ACUCGUCUGGCUCAGUUAGAAGAGCAUGUGACUCUUGAUCUCAGAGUUGUGAGUUCGAGCCCCACAAUGGGUA
rnacentral:tRNA from 1 species